AGGGAGGGACUUCGUUUAUCAUAGGACCCUAUUGGAAAUACAUACAAAUGUCUUCUUUAAGAGAAUCACUGAAUGGAAUGCAACCACACAUAGCAUGAAUGUUCCUUAUGAGGUGCUGACCAAGUGUUGUUACUUUGAAGCCAAUCCAUCAUCCUCGAUGGCUGCCAGCUAGGGACUAGUUUUACAUGAAUAAUGCAAUCAGGGAGGGGAGUGGGAGAGCAGAGAAGUGUGCCAGACAGUUUUAAUGUCAUAUAGUAUUUAUUGAUCUAGACCAGGUGUAAUAAAUAUAGACCAAUGUAUGGGGAGAGGGAGGGGGAGGGGAGAGAGCAGAGAAGUGUGCCAAACAGUGGUAAAUGUCAUAAAGUAUUUAUUGAUCAAGACCAGGUGUAAUAAAUA
rnacentral:lncRNA from 1 species